GUAGGGGGCGAGCGUUAUCCGGAUUUAUUGGGCGUAAAGCGUGUGUAGGCGGUUUAUUAAGUUUAAGAUUAAAGCCCGGGGCUCAACUCCGGUAAGUCUUAAAAACUGGUAGACUUGAGUACGGUAGAGGCAAACGGAAUUUCUAGUGUAGCGGUGAAAUGCGUAGAUAUUAGAAGGAACACCAGUGGCGAAAGCGGUUUGCUGGGCCGUUACUGACGCUGAGGCACGAAAGCGUGGGGAGCAAAUAGGAUUAGAUACCCUAGUAGUCCACGCCGUAAACGAUGAGUACUAAGUGUUGGGGUUACCCAGUGCUGAAGCUAACGUAUUAAGUACUCCGCCUGAGUAGU
rnacentral:rRNA from 1 species